rnacentral:rRNA from 1 species
UACGUAGGGAGCAAGCGUUGUCCGGAAUCAUUGGGCGUAAAGCGCGCGUAGGUGGCCUCAUAAGUCCGCUGUGAAAGUCAAAGGCUCAACCUUUGAAAGCCGGUGGAUACCGUGAGGCUAGAGUACGGAAGAGGCGAGUGGAAUUCCUGGUGUAGCGGUGGAAUGCGCAGAUAUCAGGAGGAACACCAAUAGCGAAGGCAGCUCGCUGGGACGGUACUGACACUGAGGCGCGAAAGCGUGGGGAGCGAACAGG